AGUCGAACGGCAGCGCGGGGAACUCGGUUCCCUGGCGGCGAGUGGCGGACGGGUGAGUAAUGCGUAGGAAUUUACCCUAUAGUGGGGGAUAACCUAGGGAAACUUAGGCUAAUACCGCAUGAACCCUAUGGGGGAAAGCAGGGGAUCCAUCUGGACCUUGCGCUAUGGGAUGAGCCUACGUCGGAUUAGCUAGUUGGUAGGGUAAGGGCCUACCAAGGCAACGAUCCGUAGCUGGUCUGAGAGGAUGGUCAGCCACACUGGGACUGAGGUACGGCCCAGACUCCUACGGGAGGCAGCAGUGGGGAAUAUUGGACAAUGGGGGAAACCCUGAUCCAGCAAUGCCGCGUGUGUGAAGAAGGCCUGCGGGUUGUAAAGCACUUUCAGCUGUGAAGAAAAGCUUGGGGCUAAUACCUCCAAGCCUUGACGUUAGCUGCUGAAGAAGCCCCGGCCAACUCCGUGCCAGCAGCCGCGGUAAGACGGAGGGGGCUAGUGUUAAUCGGAAUUACUGGGCGUAAAGGGCGCGUAGGUGGUUCGGUAAGUCGAAUGUGAAAGCCCUGGGCUCAACCCAGGAAUUGCAUUCGAUACUGCCGGGCUAGAGUUUGGUAGAGGGGAGCGGAAUUCCACAUGUAGCGGUGAAAUGCGUAGAUAUGUGGAGGAACACCAGUGGCGAAGGCGGCUCCCUGGACCAAAACUGACAUUGAGGCGCGAAAG
rnacentral:rRNA from 1 species